GUACAUGAAGAGAUGGGAGCAUCUAGUACAUGAAGAGAUGGGAACAUCUAGUACAUGAAGAGAUGGGAGCAUCUAGUACAUGAAGAGAUGGGAGCAUCUAGUACAUGAAGAGAUGGGAGCAUCUAGUACAUGAAGAGAUGGGAGCAUCUAGUACAUGAAGAGAUGGGAACAUCUAGUACAUGAAGAGAUGGGAGCAUCUUGUAAAUGACAGAUGCAGUGAAAGGAGCAUCUCUUUAUCAAAUCCUCCUUCAGUCACAUGCAGGUAAAACAUUGUGUUUCUAUAUAAUACUGUAUCUGAAAGAGCAGAUUCUGCAGGUAAAACAUUGUGUUUCUAUAUAGUACUGUAUCUGAAAGAGCAGAUUCUGUAGGUAAAACAUUGUGUUUCUAUAUAGUACUGUAUCUGAAAGAGCAGAUUCUGUAGGUAAAACAUUGUGUUUCUAUAUAAUACUGUAUCUGAAAGAGCAGAUUCUGCAGGUUCCUUGAUACGUACCUUUAUCAAAUAACUCUCAACAUUCAAGAGGUGCAGCUCUAUUUCCAAAGUUCACUUUUUCUUCAACAACAUCCGUGUUGUCCAUGUAUUUAUCACAGGACCACUCCAGCAGCAGCAUUGAUCUGGCAACUAAGCACAAACUAGUAACACAAUCAAAUUAAAAUCUGCUAUUCUGUCGUCAAUGGAUGAACGGCCAAUAGAAACCAGAUAGAAACUGAUCAUGGUGCAUGUGACUUCAGUUUUGG